GGCUGGUUAGCUCAGCUGGUUAAAGCAUGGUACUGAUAGCACCAAGGUUGCUGGUUCGAGCCCUGUAUGGGGACA